GUGAUUGACGAGGAUGAAAAAGAUGCUCUGACUUCAAAAUUAUAUGUUACAAAAGAUAUUUUUAUGCAUGUUAGUGUUUAUACCAUUGUUGACACACCAUAGUAGUGUGUGAUAGAUGGUUGAUUAUUAAUCGUUUCAUUUAAUCAAAGCGAGUCCAAGAUAACUAAGGGUGCCUCUCUCUCAUAUCAUAUCGACCUCCUUGCCGAUGAAGUUACUGGAGCGAUGGAGAUCACCAUGAAUUCAAGGGUUGAACUGCAUCGGUGGUGGCAUUUGCAGUGGCAUCCAAUGACUUGGAUGUCCUUAACCAUCUUAUAGUCAAUAAGCAAAGGUGGGUCCUCAUGCGAAAUGAAAUCGCAUUGUCGGACCUCCUCUUAAGGAAUUGAUCCACAUGGCAUCACACCAAAUGUAGUGGCCUUAAACAAAGGGAACCAAAGGGGGUGGAGGUGCUACAGUAGAUAACCCGUUGAGCAGUUGUGCUCCACGCAGCUACCUGUCUCCAUGGUGUACACUCAUAAACAAAGCGUAUCUUGGAAAAUCGAGCUCCGUUGGAAUUGGGCUUGGUUCGCAGGGGCUAGUAGCAUGAAUGACCAAGGUAGAAAUGAAUCAGGGAAAACAUGAAUAAUUGGUUGGGUAGUUGUAAGAUCCAUGCAAUUUUGUAAAAGAGGACUUUUUGAGAUGU
rnacentral:lncRNA from 7 species